rnacentral:sRNA from 1 species
GGAUGCUUCCAACAAGGAUUGGUGGUGGGGCCAGAUCGACGAUGAGGAGGGAUGGUUUCCUGCCAGCUUUGUGAGGUCAAAGUCAUCUAGAAUAUCCAGA